rnacentral:rRNA from 1 species
GAUGAACGCUAGCGGCAGGCUUAACACAUGCAAGUCGAGGGGUAUUGGUUUUCGGACCAAGAGACCGGCGCACGGGUGCGUAACGCGUAUGCAAUCUACCUUUUGCAGAGGGAUAGCCCAGAGAAAUUUGGAUUAAUACCUCAUAGUAUAGUACUUUGGCAUCAAGGAACUAUUAAAGUCACAACGGCAAAAGAUGAGCAUGCGUCCCAUUAGCUAGUUGGUAAGGUAACGGCUUACCAAGGCUACGAUGGGUAGGGGUCCUGAGAGGGAGAUCCCCCCACACUGGUACUGAGACACGGACCAGACUCCUACGGGAGGCAGCAGUGAGGAAUAUUGGACAAUGGGCGCAAGCCUGAUCCAGCCAUGCCGCGUGCAGGAUGAAGGCC